CACAGAAAAAGGAAGGGAACUGUGUUGGAAAGAGCUUUAGAGGGAAGGCUGCCGCGUCGAUAAGGAAUAUAAGGUUGAAGGCAACUUCCCAGGUAAUGUGGUAAACUAUUGGACAGGUGACUUCAGGAAGUAAAAUACUCCAUACCGCUGCAAGUGUUUGGCGAUCUGUUAAAAUAGCAGCUGUCCCACUCUCAAUCAUAAGGAAAAGGCAAUUCUUAUAGCCUCAGGGUAAGAAAAUAAAGAUGUAUGGCAGGAGAAGCCACAAGAAUCUGUGGGCAGAAAUGCCUCUCCACUGGCAAUGUCUGAUUUUCAGUAACCUUGGCAUACAUCAUAUGAAUGGGCUAGGAGAUAAACCCCAAUCCAGACACAGGUCACUGUUAUUGCAGCAAUCCAUCUAGCUUCACGCUGACUUUCGAUAUACAGGAAAUUUUCAAGCAAGCAAAAAUCUUGUGGGAGGUGGGGGUACAUCAGGGCAUGGAAUCUGACUUCCAUAUCAGUUUCGGGGAUUUUCCCUUCUCAAGCCUAAAUCAUCUAAAUGAGAACAUUCCUGAGGUAACAAGAACACGUCUCUCACCCCAAGCCGCCCACCAGAAGUCUUCAAACAAAACAUAACAAGUGAUUCAUGGUGAUAUGAACUCCCCUGACACAAGCACAGCCAAGACUAAUAUUAUGGUACAAUAUUAUGGUACAAUAUGUUAUGCUUGAUUAAACAAAAUGUUUUGGUACUCACAUUUGACAAGCUUUUUCGUAAAGUAAUUGUGUCAAACUACGCAUCUGAGUCAGGAAACUUUGAUUUGUUACAAGGCUGAGUUUUCCUCCUUUCACUUCCUUGUUUCUCUGGCAAGAAGCAGCUCACACCAUCGUUGUAACACCUGAGUGUACAUUACAUGUCCAGACUGUCUUGCUGAACCUGCAAGGGGGUGCAACAAGUAAGGAAGACCUCACUGGAGAGGUGCAAGGACGGUGCUGUGGCUCAGCAGAGAGCUUGAGGGUGACUGGACUGUUUUUGCAGUGUGCCUCAGAUAAUUGGAACAUGGGCAGAGAACACUGAAAUGACUGAGAGGCUCUGAACUGCAUUAGCCAGGUUCAGGUAACCUCACUAGCCUGGCUUCAGUGCCUGUUCAGUGGGCAGCAGGUUCGGAGUGAGCAGGAGGAAGCAGAAGUAGCAUGGGUAAGAAGUGAGCCCUGAGCCAGGAGUGAGAGUCCCUGUACUGCUGGAAGAGAUGGCUGAGCAUAGGGAAGCAGUAACAAAGAUCCAGGCCCAGACAGGGGCAGAACACCACUGGUCUUUUUCACACAAGCCUCACCUAGAGGAAGGUCAAUAACCACUGAAGCAGACCAGAUGAUCAGCUCCCCUCACUCACCCAACACAAUUAUCCAGCAGACAAAAGAUAGUAGGCAGCGACCAUGUGGAGGGACAGCAUAACCAGAUGCUGCAACUUUUAGAUUCAGAACUGCCCGACGAGAUGGAUUUUGUAGCAAGUCAGUAGGUGUGUCCUGAUAGGACGUUCCAUGUAUGACUGCCCGAAAUGAGCAUGAUCCUAUGAGCAUGAUCAUCAGCUGAGAAACCAGCUGGCGCAGGAAUUCUACCAUGAAAUAACUGCUGACGAGUUCAGCUUCCCUGGAGGGGUAUAAAGCCUGAUUAGCAUAAGUAAGGAUCAAGACUUUAAUUGGAUUGUGUCACCAAUGUUUUCAUA